GUGGAAAUAGAAGAGCAAAGUUUGAAAGGAGCCAACAGUUUUAUACUUCACUCUACAAAAACCAAAUUGCUUAAAAAUAGGAUACCUUCUGUAGGUGCCAUUCAUUGAAUCUUCUGUCCAAAAUCCAACAGGCAAUAUAUACCCACUUAGUUCCUAGGUAGGAGUGGCUUGGUUCAAAGAGGGGAAAUGGUAAAAAAUAAGAUAGUACCCGUAAAAAAACAACUUUCCUGCCUCAUAUUUUCCUAAUCCCUUACUCCUAAUCUCCAUCACUUAAAAAAAGAAAACCUGUUUGGGAUCUAUGGUACACCUUAAACUCUAAGUGCCUAAAACAUUCACAGAAGGGAUACGUCCAUGAUAAGACUUAAGAACGCCUGCAUAAGACUACUGAGUUUCUGGUGUUUAAGUGGGCUAUUGGUACCUCAUACUCUCUUAAACUUUGUGGAGAGUCUUUGAUCCUAAGAACCGUGAAAUGUUGCUGAAGAAAUAACACAGAUAAACAGAGAGUAAUACAAAAUUAAUAGACUACACUGUGCAGGACACAGCUCUGAAAGAAACAAGGAUAAGAACACUGCCUGUCAUAUGGCCAAUGUAAAUAUGGAUCCAGACAGCGUUACUGCUGGCUUUACCACCUCCACCAAAGUUCUUAAGAGCCCUCCAGAGUAACAAAGCACUGAAUCUCACCAGAUGCUGGUAACACUGUGGUCCACAAGGCUUGUUGUCCAAAGCUGUUUCUGUGUUCUUCCUCUUAUAUGUGUUGGGUGUUGCAUGGAAGGCUGUAAAAUAAGCACAAAGUACCUGAAUAUGGCUAUAAAAAGUUUACUUUUUCAUUUCCCCAGAGCCAUUGGAAAAUCCAGUAUCUCCUACAUAUGUAGCUUACUUCCUACAGCUCCCCAUCUCUCACAGGGUACCCUCCACUCGGCCUCCAACCUCCAAGAAAGGUGACGACAUGGUAAACUCUGGAAUGAUUCAUAAUUCUUAUUUUCCCUUUGCAAGUAUGAUCUAUGGGAAUAAAGUGUGACUAUACACAUUUACUUGAGUCUUUAGUAUCUCCAACAAGCGAAAAAUAUUGAAAAAAAAACCAACAGACUGCCUAAUUUUACAAAAAUAUUCUGGCAUCUACAAUUUCUCUGCCUAGGGAGGCUUUUUAUGUUUUUGUUUUUUGAACUUUGGGGGUGGGAGUGGGAAGGAGAUAUCGGGUGAGAUAGAAGGGUGGUAUCUUUCCCAGGCUGGCUUUGAACUCAUAGCAAUACUCUAGCCUUGCCCCCUGAGAACUACAAUUAUAGAUGUGUUGAUAUCACCACAUCCAGCUCUGACUUAGAUGAAGGGACAAUUUACUAAACAUGAACUAGAAAAUGGUUCUGCUUAUAAAAUUUCUAGAACAAAGAAGCUUCAAUAUCUGGAACUCAAUUCUAGGUUGUGUUAACCAGUUGUUUUCUCACACAAUGGAAAAAGUCAAUGCUUAAAACUAACUAUUCAAGUCGUGCGUGGUGGCGCGCGCUUUUAAUCCCAGCACUUGGGAGGCAGAGACAGGAGAGUUUGAGGCCAUUGGUCUACUGAGCUUGUUCCAGGAGAGCCAAGGUUAUACAAAGAAAACGGGGUGAGGGGAUGGGGGUGGGGUGGAAUGACAUUUUAUUCACUGCAAAUUUUAGGAAUGGGGAUGUGGCUUACUGGGAGUGUUCAGGGAUGGGGGUGUGUCUUAAUGGGAGUGUGUGCAGGGAUGGGCUGUGGCUAUAGUAUAAUGUGUGCCCAGCAGAGGCAAGGCCCUGGGUUCAAUCUCUAAUACUACAGAAAACAAACAAACCCACACACCAGCCUGUAGAGAAUUCCAACUUUAGUGGGAUAUGGUGGUAUGCUCCUGUAAUUUUAGAGCUCAAGAAGUUGAGGCAGGAGAAUCAAAAGGAUCAUGAAAAUCAACAGUUCAAGGCUAGCCUCAGCUACAUACGAAGUAUGAGACACUAUUUCAAAAAAAACAAAACAAAUUCCAGUUACCUGGAAAUUUUACUAAGAAACCUCAUUUCCUAGAAAUGCCAAAGGAAAAAAAUUAGUUUUCAUACUGACAUUAAGGACAUUUUAUGUUUGCUUGUUUUGAAAUAUGAAGUACUUAUAAAACAAUUAUUCGG
ensembl:lincRNA